rnacentral:rRNA from 1 species
CCUACGGGCGGCAGCAGUAGGGAAUUUUUCACAAUGGGCGAAAGCCUGAUGGAGCAACGCCGCGUGCAGGAUGAAGGCCUUCGGGUUGUAAACUGCUUUUAUAAGCGAGAAAUAUGAUGGUAACUUAUGAAUAAGGAUCGGCUAACUACGUGCCAGCAGCCGCGGUCAUACGUAGGAUCCGAGCAUUAUCCGGAGUGACUUGGUGUAAAGAGUUGCGUAGGUGGCAUAAUAAGUAGCUAGGGAAAUCUGGUGGCUCAACCAUUCAGACUAUUAGCUAAACUGUUAAGCUCGAGACCGUUAGGGGUAACUGGAAUUUCUAGGGUAGGAGUGAAAUCCGUAGAUAUUAGAAGGAACACCAAUAGCGUAGGCAGGUUGCUGGGACGGUUCUGACACUAAGGCACGAAAGCGUAGGGAGCAAACGGGAUUAGAUACCCGGGUAGUC